UUCCGGUUGAUCCUGCCGGAGGUCAUUGCUAUCGGGGUCCGAUUUAGCCAUGCUAGUCGCACGGGUUUAGACCCGUGGCGGAAAGCUCAGUAACACGUGGCAAAACUACCCUAUGGAUCGGAAUACUCUCGGGAAACUGAGGCUAAUGCCGAAUACGAUUCCCAGUCUGGAAUGACGGGAGCUUCAAACGCUGAGGCGCCAUAGGAUGUUGCUGCGGCCGAUUAGGUAGACGGUGGGGUAACGGCCCACCGUGCCGAUAAUCGGUACGGGUUGUGAGAGCAAGAGCCCGGAGAUGGAUUCUGAGACAAGAAUCCAGGCCCUACGGGGCGCAGCAGGCGCGAAACCUUUACACUGCACGAAAGUGCGAUAAGGGGACCCCGAGUGCGAGGGCAUACAGUCCUCGCUUUUGUGUACCGUAAGGUGGUACACGAAUAAGAGCUGGGCAAGACCGGUGCCAGCCGCCGCGGUAAUACCGGCAGCUCAAGUGAUGACCGCUAUUAUUGGGCCUAAAGCGUCCGUAGCCGGCCGAACAGGUCCGUUGGGAAAUCUGCUCGCUUAACGAGCAGGCGUCCAGCGGAAACCAGUCGGCUUGGGGCCGGAAGACCUGAGGGGUACGUCUGGGGUAGGAGUGAAAUCCUGUAAUCCUGGACGGACCAUCGGUGGCGAAAGCGCCUCAGGAGGACGGACCCGACGGUGAGGGACGAAAGCUAGGGUCACGAACCGGAUUAGAUACCCGGGUAGUCCUAGCUGUAAACGAUGAUCGCUAGGUGUGGCGAUGGCUACGAGCCAUCGCUGUGCCGUAGGGAAGCCGUGAAGCGAUCCGCCUGGGAAGUACGUCCGCAAGGAUGAAGCUUAAAGGAAUUGGCGGGGGAGCACUACAACCGGAGGAGCCUGCGGUUCAAUUGGAUUCAACGCCGGA
rnacentral:rRNA from 1 species